AAUCCACCGUCCAAAAAUACUUGUCAACAAAAUGGAUAAAAAGGGAUGUAUGUAGAACUAAAAUACGUCUAGAUACAUUCCCUCUUCUUCAUUUUAAUGACAAGUAUUUUCGGACACUAAAAUGUGGUUU
rfam:Triticum aestivum genome assembly, contig: Triticum_aestivum_CS42_TGACv1_scaffold_375991_5AL